ensembl:lncRNA SLC26A4-AS1 SLC26A4 antisense RNA 1
CUUCCCUCCCCAAGGCGUGGACGCCCCGCUCCGCUUCUCUCUACGCAGGCCCGCGCGGCCGCUACCUGCAGCACUUGGCCAGGCUCUCCCGCAGCGUCUUGCGCUCCUGCAGGCGCCGCUCGUGCUGUUGCUGGAAAGCGAGCUCGCUGUAGACCGGCCGCGACACCAUGUAGCUGCAGCUGUACUCGGGGAGCUGCGGCGGCUCCGACCUGCCGCCUGGCGCUGCCAUGACCUGCGAGCCAGAGGACAGCGAGGAGGGAGGACACGCGACAUGAUCUCAUUCUGUUGCCCAGGGUGAGUGCAGUGGCACCUUCAUGGCUCAUUGCAGUCUCGAUCUCCCAGGCUCAAGCGAUCCUCCCACCUCAGCCUCCCAAAGUGCUGGGAUUGCAGGCGUGAGCCACCUUGCCCAGCCCAUUCUGCAAUCUUCGGAAGGAAGUCACUAUAUGCAGCCUAUGCUUGAGGAGUGGGGAGUUGAAUUCCACAUCCUUGAGGGCAGAAUACCUAAAUAAAUUAUUUGGAAUUCUUCUGCAAGAGAGA